AGAACGAACGCUGGCGGCAGGCCUCAAACAUGCAAGUCUAGGGGGCGUAGCAAUACGUCACCGGCGGACGGGUGCGUAACACGUGGGAAUGUACUUACUGGUUCGGAACAACUCAGGGAAACUUGAGCUAAUACCGAAUGUGCCCGAAAGGGGAAAGAUUUAUCGCCAGUAAAUCAGCCCGCGUCCGAUUAGCUAGUUGGUGGGGUAAAGGCCCACCAAGGCGACGAUCGGUAGCUGUUCUGAGAGGAAGAUCAGCCACACUGGGACUGAGACACGGCCCCAGACUCCUACGGGAGGCAGCAGUUGGGAAUCUUGGACAAUGGGGAAACCCUGAUCCAGCCAUGCCGCGUGAGUGAUGAAGGCCUUCGGGUUGUAAAACUCUUUCGACGGGGACGAUAAUGACGGUACCCGUAGAAGAGCUCCGGCUAACUUCGCGCCAGCAGCCGC
rnacentral:rRNA from 1 species